AAUCCACCUCUGCAUGUGAUCAUCUGCAUUUGACUCCUUGAACUAUGGCAGCCAGCUGGAGCCAUGAAGUAAGCCACCCUAACAUGAGUGGCAGAAACAUGGAGAGACAGGGUUUCACCAUAAUGGCCAGGCUGCUCUCCACCUCCUGGGCUCAAGCGAUCCACCCACCUCAGCCUCCCAAAAUGUUGGGAUUGCAGAUAUGAGCCAUAGUUCCCCUCCAUCAGCCCAAAUGUCAGUUCCUGGAGUACAAAGGCGGUGGCUGCUUCAGAUGCUUCAGACUGAAACUGCUCUUUGCCAUUCUCAUGGACACUGGAGAGUUAAGUUUGGUUAAAUUGAUGCCUUUUUCUUUUAAAAAAGAAAGAAUACACAUAUACCUUUGUGUACACACAAGCUAGGAAACAUCAAUCUAAUACAUGGAUGGCAAGAAAAACCAGAUCUGGCUCAUGCCAGUUACAAUGGUCUGUGAAGAUAAAAAGAUUUCUUCAGAUUUAUUUCUCAGCCAAUUUCUGCUUUUCCUAGGGAGAAAUUAAAAGUUUGUUAAAUACCUAUGUUUAGCCUUUUAUUAAUUUAGCCGGUGAAAUUAAAAG
rnacentral:lncRNA from 1 species